rnacentral:rRNA from 1 species
AUUGAACGCUGGCGGCAGGCCUAACACAUGCAAGUCGAGCGGAUGAAGGGAGCUUGCUCCUGGAUUCAGCGGCGGACGGGUGAGUAAUGCCUAGGAAUCUGCCUGGUAGUGGGGGAUAACGUCCGGAAACGGGCGCUAAUACCGCAUACGUCCUGAGGGAGAAAGUGGGGGAUCUUCGGACCUCACGCUAUCAGAUGAGCCUAGGUCGGAUUAGCUAGUUGGUGGGGUAAAGGCCUACCAAGGCGACGAUCCGUAACUGGUCUGAGAGGAUGAUCAGUCACACUGGAACUGAGACACGGUCCAGACUCCUACGGGAGGCAGCAGUGGGGAAUAUUGGACAAUGGGCGAAAGCCUGAUCCAGCCAUGCCGCGUGUGUGAAGAAGGUCCUCGGAUUGUAAAGCACUUUAAGUGGGGAGGAAGGGCAGUAAGUUAAUACCUUGCUGUUUUGACGUUACCAACAGAAUAAGCACCGGCUAACUUCGUG